UUAUUUAUUUAUUUAUUUAUUUAUUAAACUGGUAAAUUGAAGAUUUUCACAUCAAUUUAUUUGAAGCUGAAUUAAAGCUUUACUGGACAACUCAAGUUAGAAAGAACUUUGAUGAGUUCUGUAACCCAGAACGUGGAUCGAAGGACUUCUGGAAGUCAGAAAAGAUUGAUUACGAAGAAUUCAAAGUGAUAGAAGAAAUUUCACUUUUAGAUUUGGAUUCUAAUCUUCAAAACUCCACUGUCAUUCAGUCUUUUAUUGCUAAACAUGGGCAGGAUGUUUAUCAGUUAGCACUUCGUGGAUUUUAUGCUGAAGUUUGCAGGAUUUGCGGAUUUGAUUUGGAAGAUUUAUACUUUGAGGAUUUUCGAAUAUUUAAAAAUCAGAUUUACUUCAUGGAAAUACAUAGAUUAACAGAUAUUACUGACCUUCAUUAACGAUUUAUUUUCAUUGAACACCAUAUUUUUAUGGUUCUUCGGUUGAAUAGAACUAUCGACAUUUCACAAUUUUACAAUUUAUUUCUUUAUUUGUCAACAGAUGGCUUCAUAUUCGUCGUUAUUGCAAUAUUUUAUCUGCCAAAUCAUCAACAUUAAUAAGUUUUAGGUAGAUAAAAAAGAUAUCUGAACAUUCAAAUCUAUAUUUGGUUCCAAUUAAUAAACAUGAUUAUCAUACGCAUUUAUAUCAGUAGUUAUUAUUAUUCUGAUUUAUAAAUUAUGCUUACAGUCGGCUGCAUGCUGAAUGCACUGCGCUUUCUGACCCAUAAACUUAAUAGCAAGUAAAUUAUGAUUGACUGUUGAGGAAGAAAUUUUAAGAAAAUAAUUGUGAAGAGGAAUGAAAGAAAUUGUAAUUGACUGAUGAGGAAGAAAUUUUAUGAAAAUAAAUGUAAAGAGGAAUGAAA